UACGGAGGGGGCUAGCGUUGUUCGGAAUUACUGGGCGUAAAGCGCACGUAGGCGGCUUUGUAAGUUAGAGGUGAAAGCCCGGGGCUCAACUCCGGAAUUGCCUUUAAGACUGCAUCGCUAGAACGUCGGAGAGGUAAGUGGAAUUCCGAGUGUAGAGGUGAAAUUUGUAGAUAUUCGGAAGAACACCAGUGGCGAAGGCGACUUACUGGACGACUGUUGACGCUGAGGUGCGAAAGCGUGGGAAGCAAACAGG
rnacentral:rRNA from 1 species